UCCACAAAGAUGAUUUCUCCCACUCUGAUGCUGCUAGCUGUGGGACUCAUGGUCCAAGAAUCAUCAGGAGACAAAAUUCUGACCCAGUCUCCUACUUCAAAGUCUGUCCAGCCUGGAGAAACGGUUUCUAUUAGAUGCACAGCAAGUGAGAGUAUCAGUAACUAUCUCAACUGGUACUCCCAGAAACCUGGAGAAGCUCCUAAACUCCUGAUCUCCUAUGCAACAUCUCGCCAGUCUGGUGUUCCAGGUCGUUUCAGUGGGAGUGGGUCUGAUACACAGUUCACUUUGACCAUUAGCAGAAUCCAGCCUGAAGAUGCUGCAGAUUACUACUGUGGUCAGAGUGCUUACAUUCCGUUCACACAGUGUUAG